rnacentral:lncRNA from 1 species
UAUAUAUUGUAUACUUACGGGGGAGACAUAUAUUAUACACUUAAGGGUGAGACAUUUGACAAAGAGAAAAUCUGAAUCUGGCACAUAAUCAUAGAGAUUUUCCUUGCCUCGAUACAUAGCUUGAAACUCUUGCUUUAAGGGGGAGCAAAGCUAAAAUUCAUUAGGCAUUCUACUUGGAUAAGAUAGGUUCAUUGAUACAUUCUCUAAAUUGGACUAUUUGAAACUUUUACACCAAAAGCAUUUCCUAUACAUUAAACCAUACUUCUCACAUGAAUAUCAAUUUGCUUAUACUCAAUAUUUUGUAAUCAUCAAAAAGGGGAAGAUUGAGGAUCCUAGUGUUAUUUUGAUGCUUACAAAUCCAUUGAGCCCAUAUGGAAGUGCUAAUGCUAUUAAUUCAAUUAAUCCAGUACAUAAGUGAGUAAGGAAGAAAUAUUCGAUACAUCAUUGAUAAAUGACACACCCUCGAUACAUUUACGAUACAUUAAGAAUAUAUGGUCAAAACCACUCUCAAGAAUUGAUAACGAGAUAUAAUUUGU